CAGAAGCGUAUGCUAAAGUUGUUGCAGCUAAAAAGCUCGUAGUUAAGUUUCGGGUUUAGGCGUUGAUCGGGGGCUCGCGGCGUAUGCCCUUGCCUCUUUGUGUCGGCGCCGCCCUCCUCCGCCUGUCUUCGCAAGAAGGGGGCGGUCUCUCACUGUAACUAAAUUAGAGUGUUUCAAGCAGGUCGUCACGACCGGGAUACUUCUUACGGGAUGAUAAGAUAGGACUAGCGUGCUAUUUUGUUGGUUUGCACACGCGAGUAAUGAUGAACAGGAACAGUUGGGGGUAUUCGUAUUCAGCAGCUAGAGGUGAAAUUCUUGGAUUUGCGAAAGACGAACUACUGCGAAGGCAUUUACCAAGGAUGUUUUCAUUGAUCAAGAACGAAAGUUAGGGGAUCGAAGACGAUCAGAUACCGU
rnacentral:rRNA from 1 species